GUUAGUCGCCUCUUACGACAAGCAUGGAUCGCUGAAGAUCAAUUCUAACCCGGAUCUUCACGGAUCGUUGAUAAUGUUAAACUUUGUUGUAGCAACCAGAUAGUUAUAUCCUGCAGUUGUCCUCUGCCAAAAUAUUGUUAUUCUUAAUUUGAGCAUAUUCAUCCAAACUUUAAGGAUCUUAUAAUGUCUUUGAAGAGUAAAAAGAACAAAUAGCUCAGAAGUAUGUGUCACUCAAACUACAUGUGAAUGUCAGGAUCACAUGUGUAUACAUGCAGUAACUGUUACAUUGUACAGUUUGAACAACUUUAUGUGGCCAAAAUGUCUCACACGUGACCAUUUAAAGAUUUAAUAAUUGGCACUAAGGGAUAUACAAGUGUGUAAUGCAUGAGACAUGUUUUUUCGAACGCGAAUUACUGUUCGGCGAUGUUUUUAUCAUUCGUUCCUUCAGUGUUUCAUGCGACAAGUAAUUAGGAGAUUAUGAAUUAGGUGUAAUAAGGAGAUUAUUUUCAAUGUUGCGGUCAUUUAUCGUUGAUUUAUGACCUCUAAAUGUAUUUAUAAAACCGAACGCUAAUAAAAAUCGAGUAUCACUCAGUGGAAUGUAUGUGGGAUGACAUUCGAGUAUAAAUUUACUGAAGGUUAAAUCGAAAAAUUAAACUUUAACUGAAUAACAUAUUUCUGUGUCAACGUCUAUGUCCAAUAAGUGUCUAUAUAUAACUAUAUUCCUGCACGCAAUUGGUAAGCUGUGUGUAAACAAAUAUAAAUAAGAUAUGAAUAUAUGUAUUGAUUAUAUUCAAUAUGCCUAUUUUUGAUCGCAUAUAAUCCUCGCACUAAUGAACUUGGAAUAAAAUGUGUAUAUUUUUGUGAAGUA